rnacentral:rRNA from 1 species
CCUACGGGAGGUUGCAGUGGGGAAUAUUGGACAAUGGGCGAAAGCCUGAUCCAGCCAUGCCGCGUGUGUGAAGAAGGCCUUCGGGUUGUAAAGCACUUUCAGUGGGGAAGAAAGCCUUGGGGCUAAUACCCUCGAGGAAGGACAUCACCCACAGAAGAAGCACCGGCUAACUCCGUGCCAGCAGCCGCGGUAAUACGGAGGGUGCGAGCGUUAAUCGGAAUUACUGGGCGUAAAGCGCGCGUAGGCGGUCUGAUAAGCCGGUUGUGAAAGCCCCGGGCUCAACCUGGGAACGGCAUCCGGAACUGUCAGGCUAGAGUGCAGGAGAGGUAGGUAGAAUUCCCGGUGUAGCGGUGAAAUGCGUAGAGAUCGGGAGGAAUACCAGUGGCGAAGGCGGCCUUCUGGACUGACACUGACGCUGAGGUGCGAAAGCGUGGGUAGCAAACAGGAUUAGAUACCCGUGUAGUC